rnacentral:lncRNA from 1 species
GGUCUGCCCCACCUACUAGAACACUGAUUUAAUCCAGCUCAGCCAGGACAGGCAGCCCACCCUAAGGACUGGUCCCACCCAACACCAAGCCCUUGGGCAACUUGUCGGCCUGCAUAGGCUGGGUGCCUGGAUCCUCUGCAGCCAGUGGCUGUGAUAGAAGCUGGGGCUACAUCAGAUUCUAUGCCAGGGUGCCUGUCUUACAAGCUAAAUGUGGAGGCAGAACCUGCAUUCAAAAAGGUUGUUCUUUGCAACAUAGCACAAGAGGAACAGAGAGAGAAAGCUGCCAAGUGUCUAAUGAAGCAAAGAUAACCUUUAUUGCUUGGGUAGCAGUGGAGGAAGGAGGUUGGAGUAAAGAUCUGAUGGACGGACAGCAGUCCAGAUGCAAUAAAGGAAUUUACUCUUUUAUAAUUGUAGAAAUGAAUAUAAAAAUAAAAUUCUAUGUGUGCCUGGUUAAUGC